rnacentral:rRNA from 1 species
CCCCUAGAUGUUCUGGGCCGCACGCGCGCUACACUGAACAGUUCAACAAGUCUUAACCUUGGCCGAUAGGUCUGGGUAAUCUUUGAACGCUGUUCGUGAUUGGGAUAGACCUUUGCAAUUAUGGGUCUUCAACGAGGAAUUCCUAGUAAACGCAAGUCAUCAGCUUGCAUUGAUUACGUCCCUGCCCUUUGUACACACCGCCCGUCGCACCUACCGAUUGAAUGGUCCGGUGAAAUCUCGGGACGGCGGCUUGGUCGCUUGCGUCCGACUGCUGAAACUUGAUUAAACCAUAACAUUUAGAGGAAGGUGAAGUCGUANCA